GUUAAGCAAAGUGGACAUGAGGGAGUUGAGGGUAGAGCAAGUUUUAGCCCAAUUGAUGAACCAUAGCAAUGGCUAUCAAUCACUUCAAAGAUCUUGGAGACCUGCACUUCAAAGUAUCCCUGAAGUGGAUUAAGCUUCAUUUAGAUUAAUUUAGGUGUAUGAAGUUGAGGAAGAUGAGUAUUGGCCUAUUAAAUUAGGUCAAUCUUUCUUUUUCCUUUCGUUGGAAAAAUUGGAUUGUCCAUUUGAGGUGGUUUAUGGCAUGUGUCCCCUUAGUGCACCAGACCUAACCCCUUGUUCUAGGUCUAAAAAAUAAGAGUAGUGAUAUUUGAACAACCAUUUUAAACAACUUUUGUGACAACUUCUUUUUUCUCACUUUUCAUUGGUCAAAAACAAUGGAGAAAGAAAAAAGAAGAGAGAGUAUAAAAAUAUAAAGUGAGUAUGAGAGAGAAAGUUGUCAAGAAGUUGUCACAAAGUGGUUGUACAAAUAUCAUUUCUCAAAAAAUAAAGCGUAGAUGUUCAACAGAAUGGAGAAACAGACAUUCAAAGGAGAAUUGAGAAACAAAAUUCAAAGUAUAAGACUCAUGAGACAGACAUUGCAAGUGACAUUCAUUCAAAGUAUAUGACUCAUGAGACAGACUUUGAAGAUGAGGAAAAUCUUGACUUAAAGACGAGUCUCUUCCAAUCAGGGGAGAACGAUUAAGAAUAAUACGGACUUUUCAAGAAAUAUAAAAACUUAAUUAUGGGACUUUCAAGUAACACCACUAGAUGAAUACAUGAUAAUAGUUAACAUGGUCUAUCACCCUAGAUGAAUACUUUCAAGUAACCCUGGGUCAAAUCUUUUAGCCAUUCAAAUUCUUGCUAACCCCGUCUACCAUAUAUGCUUCUUGUAGCAAUUUUCAUUAUGUUCCUGGAUGUACUAGGGAUUUUAUUUACAUUGAUUGUACUUAACAUGGUUAAACUUAAAAAAUGUUUAUGUUAAUACAUAGAAUUUAGAUUUUUGAAUUUAACAUAUAUAUGUUUUAUAGAUCUAUUAUUCAGAUGGAUUAUUAUCAAAUUGCAGACUUUUUUUUUUCUCCUUUUGAAAACCCUAAUGUUGAGUUUAUAUGUAGACAACUCAACGAGGUUGUCCAUACUUUGGAAAACUUGGUUCCUAAACUAACAUUUGUUAUUUUAGAGUCAUAAUAGAUCUAUAAAACAUAUAUUUGCAAGUCCCCUUGUUUUAUAUAAUGUUGCAAUUUAUAUUUUCACGUACUCUUGAGCAAAUUUACAUAUUUAUACAAAUAUUCAAUAAUGUAUACAACAUUUUAGAUUAUCUUGAAAAAGUUUACUAUAUAUAUAAUUUAAUGUUAGAUAUUUGCUCUGUGAAAUUAAAUAUGUUAUUUUGGAAAAUAUAUUUUGUACAUUGAAAUGAAGUUUUGUAACUGGAGCGCAAAUAGUUGAUGUGCAACUCGUGGGUGUUAUAAACAUCGAAUUGCGGCUAUGUCUGUAGCCUGUAGGCAGUCAAGUAAAAUAUGGCAAUUCAAAAUAGAAACAUUGACUAAUAAAGGAAACAUUCAAUUCAAAAAAUGUUUUGGCACAAAAUUUGAACCUUUUUUUUUUUAAGAAAGCAAGAACAAAUUGUUUAAAUUGUUAGUUGAUAAAAUUAAACAGUUGUCUUGGUUUAGUUUAUACGUUGGAAAUAAGUAAAUAAUUGAUUUUUUUUCUUCAAAUUUCUGGAAUAUUUGACUAUUUGCCAUAAAUCAUAUCACUACCCUAUUAAAUUAACCUUUAAAUAAUAUUUUUAACCGUGAUACUAGUCCUUAUAAGUUAAUAAAAAGACUAAAUUGUCUGAUGUUAAUCAAAAUUAGAGCUUUUUUUCUUACCAAAAAAUUAGAGCUUUUUUUCUCUAUUCACAAAUAUAAAGGGAGUAAAUGUCCAACCCUAUUCACAAAAUUUGAUCACUCUAUCAUUUCAUAUUUGAGUGUUGUUGUUUUUGUUAUUAGCAUUCAAAUAGGCACUCCAUGUGCAAUGGCAGAGCCAGGAUUAUUGUAAAGUCCGGGCAAAAAAAAAUUGCAACGCAUUUAUAGGAGUUUACAUAAGAAAUUGCAAGCAAAUAAUAAAAAAAUCUAAAGAAAUUUCCCAAUUUAUAGGGGUUUAUAUAAGAAAUUCAUAGGGAUUUACAUAAGAAAUUAAAAAAAUUUGGGCCGGAGCCCGGGCAAGUGCCCGGGGUCGCCGGCCAUAGAACCGCCCAUAUCCAUGUGUUUGUCCGCUCUUUUUAUUGCGUUAAUAGUAUGAACAAUAAUUAUUAUGUAAAUUUUGGUUUUGAUUAGAAAAUUUGUAUAAAUAUUUUGCACUUUUAUAUUUUGCACGUUCCUAAUUUCUAACUGUUGCAUGCAUUUUCCCAACCUUGACAUGGUGACAAAGUUAUUGUUGAUGAUCUAUUUAUAGAGUGAACAAAUUUUUACAAAAAAAAUAAUAUUAAAAUGUCAAAGUUACAUUGUAUAUGAACGCUCUGUAGUGUCAAUGUAACACUACCAAAAAAAAUUAACAUUAAAAGGAUGCAUUUUUAUUGAAUAGAUGAAUUUUGGAUGCAUAAUUUGUAUAUUUGGGAGAGAAAAGGUGAAUUUCGAAUUUUAAAUCCUAUUGAAUCUCAUCUUAUAAAAGCUCGUUAAAUGUCAUUUAUGACACAAUUAUGGAUGAUAAAAUGUUGUUGUGAUAUGAGAGAAGAAGGGAACAAGAUUUGUUUGUUAUUAUUAUGUAUUUUUAUUAAAUAAUAUUUUAUUUUUUUUUAAUUUAAAAUCUCAACCGUUAGAUACUUUUUUACCACACGUCUUUCAUCCAAACUCUAAAUGGAGUUUAGCCUAAAUGAAGCAUACUCGAACUCCCUUCAUAUAUUAUGAUGGAAUUCUGCUAUGGGUAACAACUGAGUUAUUUAGUAAGAAGUGAUGUUAGUCAUCAUGUAUUGUCAUGACAUGGGAGUUGUCCACAAAGUUACCAAGUCUGAGAAGUUGAAGGUUCCAAGAAUUGAAGAGGUAGUUGUGGGUUACGUUUUUGCAGUGGCGGAUCUUGAGUAAUUUUAUUGGGGGUGCCAAACCACCAUGAAAUAUAUCUAAAUCAGUUUCAAAAAAUAGAUAAAAAUAAUCACCUGCCGUAGUGGUUUAUAUCGUUUGAAAGCAUCAAGCGGAUGCAGGUUCGAAUCCCUGCUAACGGUUUUUUUGAAUAAAAAAUGUAAAUUCGAGAGAAAAAUGUCAAAAAAGAUGGCGCGAGUGUCGAACUCGCGACCGCUGGGGGGACCAUACAACUAGCUUACCGCUGUGACGAAUGAAAACUUGCUGAAAUAUUAUGCAUAAUAUGGUAUAUAUUAAAAACCCAGGGGAUGCCAUGGCACCCAUGGAUCUGUACUAAGAUCCGCCACUGCGUUUUUGCUAGCAACAAUACGUGUGAUUGUCAUACCCCAUUUUUUAACUUAAAUACCACUGACACGUACCUUGAUCUUGAAUAGUCUCUAAUUUUUGAAAGAAAAAUUCGACAGAGAAGUAUUUUAAAAUACCUCAUUUUUGUUCGGGCUCCCUUCUCACUUUUAUUAUUAUUAUUAGUCCUUUUAACUUUUUAUUUUAAUUCAUUUCCAUCUUUUUUUAUUAUUAUUCAUUAUCUUUAUUUUAUUUCACCUUUUUUUUAUUUAAUUUUAGUUUAUUCGUAUUUAUCUUUUUUUAUUUAUUUUUAUUUCCAAAACAGUCCAAAUCCAAAAAAUAUAGAUGUUUAUCUUUUUUAUUUAUUUAUUUUUAGAGGGGGAAUAUUUUGAUUCCGAAAGUAAGUUUGUUUACUUACUCCAAAUCUUGGAUUUUAAUUGUAUUGUCAAUUAAAGGUUUAGAUUGAUUAAUAAUAAAUGGUAUGGUAGACUAUAAUUUUCUUCUCUAAUGGGGAGUUACCUCUCAUUACCCCAAAAAUGACAAAACAAUUAAUGACUUUGAAUGGAUUGUUUUUUUUUUUUUUUUAUUGUUCUCUCUUUGCAUUUUUUUUACACGCAUAAUAAACUGCUUGGUCUUUCUUUUUGAAGGAAAAAAAAUUGUAUUUUUUUAGCAAAAAAAAAUGUAUAUUUUUCUGUAAGAAAAACGAAAAAUAAAGUUGUAUAUAGUUGUGUAGAGGAAAAAAAAACUACCACAUAUGGAUAAGAGGACAUAUAUUGUUUGCUUUCUUCAUUGUAUAUAUAAAAAAAAAUAUCACAUGUUUUCUUCACUACAAAAUUUAGGAUUAUCAGAAAUAUGUGUGUUUACGAAAUGAUAUUGAUACAUACAAUUACAUUAUAUUAAUUUAUUUAUUUCAAAUUAUUAGCACUAAGGACUUGUAUGUAUCCCCCCUCUCUUUAUAUAGUUUUUAUUUUUCCUUUAAAAAAAUACACUUUUUUUCCUUCAAAAAGAAAAACUAUGCAGUUUAUCAUGCGUGUUGAAAAAAAAAGCAAAGGGAAAAGAAUAAAAAAAAAAUCAAUUCAAAGUCAUUGAAUGUUUUGCCAUUUUAAGGUGAUGAAAGUUAAUUUCAAUAGAGAAGAAAAUUAUAGUCUACCAUACCACUUAUUAAUCAAUCCAAGCCAUUAAUUGAAAAUACAAUUAAAGACUAAGAUUUGGAGUAAGUGAACAAACUUACUCUUGAAGUCAAAAUAUUUCCCCUCUUAUUUUUUAUUUAUUUAUAUUAUUAGAUGAUAAGUCCAAAACAGUUCAAAUCCAAAAAUAUGCGACAGACGCACUUUCCUCCUCCCCAAGUCAAGGCAUACAGUUUUCUUUGUUUCUUUUAAACAAACCCUAAUCCCAAUCCUAUAAAAAGCAACCUGCAACAACACAAUUGGACAACCAGAAAACACACAAUUUUACCCAACAACACAAUUUUCACUGGCACAAAUAUUCCAAAAAACAUAAAACCCUAGCCACUGACGACCGCAAUUUUUCCCUAGCUUUUUCAGUUUCAGUUUUAUUUCUAGAGAACCCUAGCCACCGUCCACUUUUAGAAUUUCAGAAACCUAGCAACCGUAAUUUGCAUUAUAGUUUUGAACCGUACUUUCUAUUGAAUUCCGAAUUCAAUUCUAGUUUUCUCUUUUAUUUCGUUUGAUUCCUGCCGAACUGUUGGGCGGUUUCACAUGUCAACUCUGUGAUUGCCGUAUUCCAAUUCCACUUAUGAUUUUCAAUUCUAAUUUAUAUUAUUUUCAAUUUGCUUGCUGCUAUAUUAUUAUUAUAUAAUUCCAAACUCUAAUUUCCCUUUGUUUUUUCCUUUUCAUUCACGCUGCCAUUGCUAAUGCCAUAUAUCUAGUUUUGCUCGUAUUAUUAAUUACUGUUGCUGGCUUUUUGAUUAAAUUUCAAUUGCUAAGAAUUCAACACAGCCGUACCACAUAUACACACACACUACUGCGUGUGCAUUUAGAAAGCAACUACAUGGUCUCAUUCAGUUAAAGCCCAAAAACAAAUGUCAAGCCCUAACCCUAAACAAGCCUAUAAAUCUCAUACCCGAAACUAUAAUUUCCUUCACUGGUAGCGCCGUAGUUCUACAUUGCAGUGCUAUCUCAUGUCUUGAUGUUCCUAUUUUUAUGUUCUAAUUUGUGGUGCUAGGGUGUUAUCUUUUUUUUUUCUUUCUAUUGAAGAAGCAUGGUUUUUGCUUUAUACAUAACCCAGUGAUGUGAUCUCCCGAAAAUUGAUUUGAUACAGUAUGCAUGAUUUAUAAUCUGUGAUGAUUCAAGAAUGGAAUAUCCCAAUACACAACAGAUUGGUACUAGUUUGUUGGUUGACCGGAUUGAUUUCUUGUUCGGAACUGGAUUGUAUUUGUGAUUUGAAACGGGUCUCUUUGAGGGUAUUUCUCUUUUAUGAUGCUUUACAGAAUAUAAUUUAGGGUUAUGACUACUAUAUGUCACACCUUUGACAAAGUUUUGUUUCCUUGCUAUCUCGUGUCUUGAUAUUCCUAUUUUUAUGUUCUAAUUUGUGGUGCUAGGGUGUUUGCUUUUUUUUUUUUUCUUUUCUUUCUUUCGAAGAAGCAUGGUUUUUGCUUUAUACAUAACCCAGGGAUGAGAUCUCCCGAAAAUUGAUUUGAUACAGUAUGCAUGAUUUAUAAUCUGUGAUGAUUCAAGAAUGGAAUAUCCCAAUACACAACAGAUUGGUACUAGUUUGUUGGUUGACCGGAUUGAUUUCUUGUUCGGAACUGGAUUGUAUUUGUGAUUUGAAAUGGGUCUCUCUGAGGGUAUUUCUCUUUUAUGAUGCUUUACAGAAUAUAAUUUAGGGUUAUGACUACUAUAUGUCACAACUUUGACAAAGUUUUGUUUCCUUGCUAUCUCGUGUCUUGAUAUUCCUAUUUUUAUGUUCUAAUUUGUGGUGCUAGGGUGUUUGCUUUUUUUUUUUUUUUUUUCUUUCUUUCGAAGAAGCAUGGUUUUUGCUUUAUACAUAACCCAGGGAUGAGAUCUCCCGAAAAUUGAUUUGAUACCGUAUGCAUGAUUUAUAAUCGGUGACGAUUCAAGAAUGGAAUAUCCCAAUACACAACAGAUUGGUACUAGUUUGUUGGUUGAUCGGAUUGAUUUCUUGUUCGGAACUGGAUUGUAUUUGUGAUUUGAAACGGGUCUCUCUGAGGGUAUUUCUCUUUUAUGAUGCUUUACUGAAUAUAAUUUAGGGUUAUGACUACUAUAUGUCACACCUUUGACAAAGUUUUGUUUCCUUGCUAUCUCGUGUCUUGAUAUUCCUAUUUUUAUGUUCUAAUUUGUGGUGCUAGGGUGUUUGCUUUUUUUUUUUUCUUUUUCUUUCUUUCGAAGAAGCAUGGUUUUUGUUUUAUACAUAACCCAGUGAUGAGAUCUCCCGAAAAUUGAUUUGAUACCGUAUGCAUGAUUUAUAAUCGGUGACGAUUCAAGAAUGGAAUAUCCCAAUACACAACAGAUUGGUACUAGUUUGUUGGUAGAUCGGAUUGAUUUCUUGUUCGGAACUGGAUUGUAUAUGUGAUUUGAAAUGGGUCUCUCUGAGGGUAUUUCUCUUUUAUGAUGCUUUACUGAAUAUAAUUUAGGGUUAUGACUACUAUAGUCACACCUUGGACAAAUUUUUAUCUCAUUUGUGUAUAGACCAAAAAAAUUGUAAUAUUAACAGUAGUAGAUGUCACACCUUUGGACAAAUUUGUUACCUUGUUACCUUGCAGUGCUAUAUAUCUCGUGUUUUUAUGUUCUAAUUUGAGUUGCUAAGUUUUUUUUUUUGUUUUUUUUGAAGAAGCAGGUUUUUGCUUUUUACAUAACCCAUUAAUGAGAUAUCCCAAAAAUUGAUUGGAUGCCGUAUGCAUGAUUUAUAUGAUUUAUAAUCGGUGACGAUUCAAGAAUGGAUAUCCCAAUACACAACAAAUUGAUACUCGUUUGUUGUUUUAUCGGAUAAAUUUCUUGUUUGGAACUAUAUUGACAUAGGAGGACUAGUUUGCCCUUAUAGUUGAGGGGUUAACACUACCGUAGUUGACAUAGGAUGUGUCAUUUGAAUUAAACUUGUUUGAUUUACUUAAAUAUAGGGUUUUAGCUACGCAUUUUAUAUUUUCAAUGAUACACAAUGUAAUUGUUUUUUGAAGAGAUAUAUAAUGUAUUUGUUCUUUUCAUCAUCAAUAAAUUUUACCUUGGUUUUUUUUUCUUUCUUUUUUCUUCUGUUUCUGCAUGUUAUGUUCACGCCAACUAACAACCUUAUGCCGUUCCUAUAAAUUGGUGAUACCAUUUGGUCGGUUUGGCCAUUGUCUCAAGUUAGUGCACCUGCAUACAAAAUUUCAGUUGAGAACAUUUGAUAUCUUGAACUCUUUUUAAGCACAUCCAUGACAACCAAAGGUCUGUAUUUCCCUCAACCAAUUUUUUCACAUGGACAGUUAUAUGUUGCAUUGUCAAGAGUUACAUCAAGGAAAUUGAAGAUAUUGAUUUUUGAUGAUGAAGGGGAAGAUAGCUAUGUCAAGUGUAGUUUACAAAGAAAACUUUCAAACUGUACUUUGAUUUUUUGUUCAACUGUUGACUUUCUUAUAAAAAAAAAUCCAUGUAUGUCACAUUGAUCAAUGAUACAUGAUAUUUUAGAAUAGUUUAUUUUUCAAUUUGCUUGAGUUGAUUGUAAUCAAAAUAUAUUGAACAAUAAUCUAUAAAGAAGAGUCUAGUUACACCUAAAACUGUUGGCUGUAGAUUGACUACAAAUUAGCUACUGAAUAUGUAACUUUUGAAGUGUUAUAAAUAAAACUCUCAAGUGUUACUGAAAUUAUUUGGUAACAUGGCCUUUACCAAAUAUUUAUCAAAUAUUAAUACUAAAUCUAAAUAGUAACAGUUUUUUUUAUAUUUACUUACAUUUUUCAAGUGUUACUAAGUCUCAUAUGUUCUAGUGUUUGUGCAUCUUAUAUAAAGAUAAGGAAAUUAUUUUUGGGUGAGAUAUGUGCACGUGACUGUGAAUGACUAAUGGCCAAAUAGUAUCUUCACUCAAAGAUCCCUUUCGAUGUUGUUCACACGAAUGGAUCUAUUUCAUGUCUUGAGAUUCUUAAUUAGACCCUUUUCACACACGUAACGUAACCAUUUGACACUGUUUCCACUAAAAACUCUUGAAGAGUUGAGUACCGACAGCAAAAUGUCUUUUGUUAAAAUAUUAAUUCCAUAGAGAUAGAUUAUAAAUUCCAAAAAAAAAAGACAGCAAAAUGUCAAAUUAAAAGCUCAUGCUAUAUGUGGAAAAUGUGUACUCUCUUCGGCCUUCAUGUAUUAAUAUUAAUUAUAGAUAACAUUUAUAUUUAAUAAAUCUAAACUAGAAAAAUUGUUUACAAUGAAGACCGGAGGGAGGAGUAGUACUACAUAUGACAUUUUUUUUUAACCAUUUUUUAUUGACGGAUUUCUACCCCUCUAAAAUUGAUUUUUCUAGCAGUGUAAAGUGUUUUACACAACUAAACCUCAGAGUUAACCAUUUUUUUUUGUAAUAAAUUUCAAUUAAAGACAUAUUAGGAUGAAUCCGAACUCAUAUAUUAACUAGAUUAUUUUUUAAGACAUUAGGAUGAAUCCGAACUCAAAUUCUAACUAGAUUAUUUUCUUUUACGAAACUUUGCUUAUAUCUUGAUUGAAUUUCAAAGAAGUCAUUAAACAUAAUAUGAGAAAAAUUAGUAUUGAAUUCUGCAAUUGGUUUUGAAUACGAAGCACGAAUAUGGACACGGAUACCGGAUACGACAUCGAUACAAUUAAAUUUUUUUAAAAAAAUCACAUAAUUCAGUGUAAUAUAUGCGUCGGUGUCGGACACACACGUGUCUGACACACAGACACGCGUUAUCUCAAAAGUGUCUGUGUUUCAUAACUUUUGAUGGCACAAUUUUGUACAAACUAGUAUACAAACUAACACACCAAUUUGUGCAUCAUCCACACGCAUACUACACUACUAUUACUACACCUUUCCGUGGUGAGUUUAUCACUAGAGUUCAUUCAAAGUGUUUGGACUAAAAUGAUAUGACCAUCAUUAUCAUCAGACAAAAACCAAAAAACAGCUACCAUUUUUAGCAUGGGCUCCACUCUCCCACUAAUUUUCAAGAAAUUAAAUAAAGGAAACAACCACCUUACCUCCAAAUAAAUGAAGUAUUGACUUAUUCUCCAUUCCAUGCAUCUUCAUUUUUUCUCUCCUAUAUAUCACCCAACUCUCUCCAAUCUUUAAAAGAAAUCACUCUCUCUCUCUCUCUCUCUUAAUCUCUCUACAUAAGCAAAACAGCACUCAAUUUUUUCUUUUUAGGCAAAAAAACACACUCAAUUAAACAGGUUUAAAUAUAAUUGCAAGACCAAAAAUGGGAAACUGCUUGAAGAAUCAAUCAUCAAUCAAAUAUGCGACCGAUGACGAUGAGUGGGAUUUCCAAGCAUCCGAAGGCGAUUACACGUCCAAAAGCAAUGGUGCCGCUGCCAAAACGACAACCGAGGUGAAGAUAAAGAUUACGAAGAAGCAGUUAGAAGAGUUGUUGAGCAAAGUUGACAUAAGGGAGUUGAGAGUGGAGCAAGUUUUAGCCCAAUUGAUGAACCAUAGUAAUGGCUACCAAUCACUUCAAAGAUCUUGGAGACCUGCACUUCAAAGCAUCCCUGAAGUUGAUUGAAGUUGAUGAAGAUUAGUAUUGACCAGUUGGGUCAAUCUUGCUUUUUGCUCUUUGAAAAAAAAAUAUAUUCAUGAUUCAAGAUGGGGUAUUUGAAAAAAAUACUGUCCAUUUGAGGUGGU
rnacentral:lncRNA from 1 species